CUCGAUAAACUUGACCCAGUUCUAAGUUUUCCAAGCGGCGAUAAAAACGGAGGAAGACACUCUGGGCCAUGAAAAAUGCAGACCGAAUCGAGGGAAUCGAGGGGCUAGUGCAGAUUCAGAUCGCGUGCAGCCAGAGGACCCCAGCUGCACGGGUCUCCAUCGCCUCCUGGGCUCUUGGGCUCCUGGACUCCCAUGUUCGGACCUCGUGUGAGGCGACCGCCAACAGUCACGACCCCACAGGGUCUUGCAGAGCCCAUCGAAGUUACACUGAAAGAAAUCAUAAGCUUAUUUAAAAAACAUCUUCCUCCACAGAUGAAUUCAGCACAUUUUUGGAUCCAUUGUAUAAAAAAAAACAACAACAGAGUUACAUAGUUCUUAGUCAAUAUAAAAUGAAAGUAUUUCUAGUCAUUGGAAUCAAUAAAUAUUGUAAAAAUGGUUUGACUUUUGCUUUGCUUAAGUUGUCUAAGAACUAAUCACUAUUAUGUUAAAUUAUUUUAAGACAUUGCAGCUAUAAAAUACUUUUAGUUUUCUGAUUAUAGAAUUGAACAUAGAUUUGUAUACAAGGUAUAUAGGAAAUUAAGCAGAAAUAAACAAAAAGUAUAUUGGCAUACAUCACAA